AUUACCUGUGUAGGGCAGCAACAGUCUGUAGAAGCAGAAGGGAAUCGCUACGAUAGACUGAAGUGCCAAAUAUAGUACUUCUGCGUUACUGUUGGAAUACAUAAGAGGAAAACUUGAGAAGCACUGUUCAAAUCUAAACCAUAAUAAAUACUUUCUUUCUGUCCCAAACAGUCGCUGUGUGUGAUGCUGAGUUGAAGUUGGAGGCAACUGACGGAGAAAAUGUCACCAUAUCCUUCAAAACUGCUGAACUGAAGAGAGCUGAUCGAGUGAGCAUAACUUUUACAAGAGAAAAUCGGAAAACCUUGAUUGCGCAGUACUGUCGCUGUGUCCAUUGCAGAGACUGUGAUGUCGUGGAAACACCUGGAGUCUUACUGCGAGUUGAAGGAACUGUGCCCUUGAUUCUUCUAGAUGUCAGCUCCAAUAACUCAGGCCUCUAUGAAGCACGAGUCUUCAUUGGAAACGAUGUGUCUGAGAUAAAAGCUACACUUGUUGUCAAAAAACCUGCAUUUUCCUCCACUAAAGCACCACUACAGAUCUCCACCCCAAAUCCUCCCAACUCCUCUGGACACCUGUGGCUGUACGCUUUACUGAUUCCUCUAGUCAUCUUGGGUGUGGUUACUUGUUCCUUCUGGAGGAAGAAAUGCAGGAGGGAACGUGAGCCAUUACCUGAUGCUGAAGAAGCCAGAGAAACCCCUGCUGUCUCCAGACACAGCAUCUUCAAAAACAAUAAGUGUAAAAGAAAUUGCAGGGACUGUGUAGCUGUCUCCUUUAAGGCUUGUAGAGAAGACACUGAAGAUCAACUCGUGGAUACCUGACUUGAUACUGAGUGUCUUGACUGCAAGCGGUGUCUCACACUGCCUCUUGAACUGAGGCGUCAAAACCACAUUUAGUCUUUUGAAUUUGUGAGAAAAUGGACAAUUCAAAAGAUGAGACUUUGUUUCUUAUCAGAAGUAACAAAGCAUUUUGCGAUUAUUGAAUGGGAGGUACAUUACAAAUAAUGUUAAAUUAAUGAAAAAUCGUGGACCUGGCAACCCUGGCUUGAACUUUUUGAAAUACUGCAUUAAGUUCUACACGACACAUGCCUGGCGGGAUACAGUCGGCCCGAUCAUCAGCUGUUUCUUAACAAAGAUAAUUGCUUUUAUCUGCCAAAACCGGUUACUGGCCGUUACAUACUAAAUAUCAUUCCAAACACUUUAGCCUUAAUCAGACUCUUGGUCUAGAUCUGGAUUUUGUGCAUGUCUGAUUGGAAUCUGAUCAUAUUUAGUAAAACUGUGUGAACACGAGACACAACCGUGGUCACGUUAACAUCUAGAAGCAGUCUACUCUAGACAACUCAGCAUCAUUGCCAUAGAAACCAAUGCAGAUAUUCCAGAAAAUGAAAGACAAUCCAUCAUUUAGAUAUGAUUUCAAUCAGAUACACAAAUACUCUGAUUUGGACUGAGAGUGAGAAUGUAGCCUUUGAGGCCAGUGAACCUUUUUAUAGAGUGAAAAUUGAGAGAAAAUGUAUUCACUCAAAAAUAAAUAUUUAAUGGGGAAAGUAAGAUUUCUCUGUACUUCUUUGUGUGCACAAAUUUUUAUAAAUGUAAUGUCAUUUUUUAGUAUCUUGUCGUUGUUGAUUUGUUGUCAAAGUCUAUCUCUAUUAUAAUGAUAUAUUUUAGUGCCA
ensembl:lncRNA uncharacterized LOC107653225